rnacentral:rRNA from 1 species
GACGAACGCUGGCGGCGUGCUUAACACAUGCAAGUCGAACGGAAAGGCCCUGCUUUUGUGGGGUGCUCGAUUGGCGAACGGGUGAGUAUCACGUGAGUAACCUGCCCUUGUCUUUGGGAUAACUUCAGGAAACUGGGGCUCAUACCGGAUAGGAGCUCCUGCUGCAUGGUGGGGGUUGGAAAGUUUCGGCGGUUGGGGAUGGACUCGCGGCUUAUCCGCUUGUUGGUGGGGUAGUGGCUUACCAAGGCUUUGACGGGUAGCCGGCCUGGGAGGGUGACCGGCGACAUUGGGACUGAGAUACGGCCCAGACUCCAACGGGAGGCAGCAGUGGGGAAUAUUGCACAGUGGGCGGAAGCCUGAUGCAGCAACGCCGCGUGCGGGAUGACGGCCUUCGGGUUGUAAACCGCUUUCGCCUGUGACGAAGCGUGAGUGACGGUAAUGGGUAAAGAAGCACCGGCUAACUACGUG